UACGUAGGGCGCAAGCGUUGUCCGGAAUUAUUGGGCGGAAAGAGCUCGUAGGCGGCUUGUCACGUCGGGUGUGAAAGCCCGGGGCUUAACCCCGGGCCUGCAGUGGGUACGGGCAGACUAGAGUGCGGUAGGGGAGACUGGAAUUCCUGGUGUAGCGGUGAAAUGCGCAGAUAUCAGGAGGAACACCGGUGGCGAAGGCGGGUCUCUGGGCAGUAACUGACGCUGAGGAGCGAAAGCGUGGGGAGCGAACAGG
rnacentral:rRNA from 1 species